rnacentral:rRNA from 1 species
UUCCAGACUCCUACGGGAGGCAGCAGUGGGGAAUAUUGCACAAUGGGGGGAACCCUGAUGCAGCGACGCCGCGUGGGUGAAGAAGCGCCUCGGCGCGUAAAGCCCUGUCAGCAGGGAAGAAAAUGACGGUACCUGAAGAAGAAGCCCCGGCUAACUACGUGCCAGCAACCGCGGUAAUACGUAGGGGGCAAGCGUUAUCCGGAUUUACUGGGUGUAAAGGGGGCGCAGACGGCGAUGCAAGCCAGGAGUGAAAGCCCGGGGCCCAACCCCGGGACUGCUCUUGGAACUGCGUGGCUGGAGUGCAGGAGGGGCAGGCGGAAUUCCUGGUGUAGCGGUGAAAUGCGUAGAUAUCAGGAGGAACACCGGUGGCGAAGGCGGCCUGCUGGACUGCAACUGACGUUGAGGCCCGAAAGCGUGGGGAGCAAACAGGAUUAGAUACCCGGGUA